rnacentral:rRNA from 1 species
UACGUAGGGGGCAAGCGUUGUCCGGAUUUAUUGGGCGUAAAGAGCGUGUAGGCGGCUUUACGGGUCCGUUGUGAAAACUCGAGGCUCAACCUCGAGACGCCGGUGGAAACCGUAAAGCUAGAGUCCGGAAGAGGAGAGUGGAAUUCCUGGUGUAGCGGUGAAAUGCGCAGAUAUCAGGAAGAACACCCGUGGCGAAGGCGGCUCUCUGGGACGGUACUGACGCUGAGACGCGAAAGCGUGGGGAGCGAACAGG